rnacentral:rRNA from 1 species
AAUCCUGGCUCAGGAUGAACGUUAGCUACAGGCUUAACACAUGCAAGUCGAGGGGCAGCAUGGUCUUAGCUUGCUAAGGCUGAUGGCGACCGGCGCACGGGUGAGUAACACGUAUCCAACCUGCCGUCUACUCUUGGCCAGCCUUCUGAAAGGAAGAUUAAUCCAGGAUGGGAUCAUGAGUUCACAUGUCCGCAUGAUUAAAGGUAUUUUCCGGUAGACGAUGGGGAUGCGUU